rnacentral:sRNA from 1 species
UGAAAAAGACUCAAUAAAGGAUUGUGUAUUAAUCAUGAUAAUUUUUAAAGUUACCAUAAGGAAUACAAAGAAGAAAAUUAUGUGUGUGUGUGUGUGUGUGUGUGUGUGUGUGUUGCUACGAAUGAAUCCCAGAGCCUUGCACAUUUCAG